AAGUCGUAACAAGGUUUCCGUAGGUGAACCUGCGGAAGGAUCAUUACCUUUCAAUGCAGAAGAGUUGAGAUGGUUGAGUAUCUCGCCUCUCAAUUCUCGCUGUAUUUUACCCUUGUUUUUCUCAUACUAUUAUUUCCUCGACAGGCUCGCCUGCCGGGUGAAACAACUUCAAACCUGUUUAAUUUUCAAUCAGCGUCUGAACAAAUUAAUAAUUACAACUUUCAACAACGGAUCUCUUGGUUCUG
rnacentral:misc_RNA from 1 species